ACUGAAGUACAUUAAGAAUUCAGAGGAAAAUUAAACAUUAUUAAAGCGGGGUUAGAAUGGUAGGUUGAUGAACUCGAGACCCACUGUAAAUCUUUAACCAAACAAAUAUCAGACAUCAAAAAGCAAGCUAAAAAAGCCGUGAUAGUUUGUGAAGAAGUCAAAAAGCAUGGCAGCGAACAAAAUUUCUGAUGAAGAAAGUAACAAGUUACAGACAUUGCAUGAAGAUAUGAUCCAAUUCAAAAGUUCGCUACGGAUCUGUGUUAAAUAUAUAAAUGGCGUGCUGAAUGGUAAAUCUACUGUUCCAGUUGUGGAUGCUUUAACCAUUGUCCAAAAACUAACUGAAGACCUCAGAUCAACCAGUUUAGAUAUUCCCACGGUAAGGCAAAAUAAACAAGCCGGUUACACGUAUAAGUAUUGGGUAAAAUAACAACUGGUCUGGUAAGGAAGUAUUGACUGAUAAACCUGUUAAUUAUAGUAAAGAGACUGCAUAUCUUUUUAACGCUAUUCAGGGAUAACAGACCUAAUGAAUCACAGUCAAUCGAUUCAUCUACACAAUCUAACAGUUUGUUUCCAUGGUGAUAGAAAGUUCAGACAAUAUAUAUAGUUUAUAAAAGUCUCUGUAUUUAAAAACAUUUACAUUCAGUAGAGACAGGAGUACUGUUAUACCGUUGAAGUUGGUAGAUAUACCGUCUAAAUCAGUGAUUGUCAAACAGAAGGCAAGUUGAUAACUGUCUAAAUCAGUGAUUGUCAAACAGAAGGCAAGUUGAUAACUGUCUAAAUCAGUGAUUGUUAAACAGAAGGCUGUUGACUCUCAUUGGAGGGGUCGCUUAGUAUGGAGAGGAAUUCUAUGCAAAUAAAUUAUAGUGUAACUGUAUAUUAUAUGGAGACAAAUUCUAUAGCGUAUCUGUACAUUGUAUGGAAAUAAUUCUAUACAUGUUAAAAAUAGUGUACCUGUAUGUUUUAUGGAGACAAAUUCUAUAGUGUACCUGUAUAUUGUAUGGAGAGGAAUUCUAUACAUAGAAAGCAUAGUGUACACUGUGUGUGUGUAUAAAUAGUAAUAUACACAACUAUAAAGGUGAUUAUAAAUUAAAUCAAAUAGAAAUUCUACAAAAUAAUGAUUUUUUUUUCCAUUUGAUUAAAAUCAAUUAAGUUUCAUUGAUUAUUUGAAUAAUUACUAUUGUAAAUAUUUAAUAGUGAUGCAAAAAAUUACUGGAUGGCAAAUCAUAAUAGGGGAGAAUUGCGAGGAAAUAUGGGAUUGCAAAAAAGCUGCUGUUAUAUAAUGAGGACGGACAUGAAGAAAGGUACAAUUUUAAAGGACGGAGUGAUCUAAAUCGAUGGGUUUGUUUUACAUUUAUUCUACUAGGAACUGCUGUGAUAACCUCAAAAUAAAUAAGGCUUGUGGUGUUGACAAUGUACUCAAUGAAUAUAUAAAAUCCACAAAAGAGUUAAUGGUAGGAAUUUAUGUGAACCUUUAAAAUGUUAUUCUGAAUACUGGGUUUAUACCCACCUCUUGGGUAAUGGGCAGGAUAUCCCCGAUAUUCGAAAGUAAAUGUAGCACAAAUAACGCUGAAAACUAUAGAAGAAUUACUAUUCUCGGUUGUAUGGGCAAGUCGUUUACAGCAGUGAUAAACGAACUCUUGGGGGUGGUCUUGUGGGCCCUGAACAGGCAAGCUUACGAAAAGACUUUUCAACAACGGACCAUUUACUCAGUUUAAAAUUUAUAAUAAAAAAUUAAUGUAUGGGGAAAAGUGUAAAAUAUUGAAAUUAAAGGUAAACUUUUCAAUGCUAACUAUAGUAUGUUUAAACGUGCUAAAUCGUGUAUCACAUGCAAUGAUUCAACUUCUCCGAACUUCAGUUGUAUGAUAUGUGUCUGGCAAGGUGAAAAUCUACCCCCUUUAUUGUUUUCAAUCUCCCUAGCAGAUUUAGAAUCUUACUUAUCCAGUUAUAGGUGCAUAGAUAUAACAAUAUGAGAGGGGGGACCUAGAACAAACUGCAACAUAAAUCAGUAUAAGUACGAAGAGCUAAAUACACAAAUGUAAAGAAAAGGAUCUAGAUAUAUAUAUAUAUCUCAAACUGUUUAUCCUACUCUAUGCCGAUGGAUGCUAUGUGUGAUUAUUGUAUUUAUUGGAACGUAAAUAUCAACACUUCUAAAACUAAGGUUAUGGUAUUCGCCAAGGGUAAGAUAAGGAAAAAACCUAUUAUAAAGUAUGAUAUUAACCAUAGAGAUUGUAUUCGAAUACGAAUACCUGAAACUCAACGAUGAUAAAACUGAAUAUCUCCUAUUAGGAACAAAAUCUUCUUUAAGUAAAGCACAAGCGGGGGGUGAUACAAGUAUACAAAUCGGUUCCCAUACUAUCUGUCCGGUUGAAUCUGCCCGAAAUAUUAGUGUACUUUUUGACGAUUAUAUGUCUAUGAAUGCCCAAAUUAACAAUAUCUGUAAAAUCUGUUAUUACCAUCUAAGAAACAUUAGUAAAAUAAGGUCAACCCUCACUAUUGAUGCCAUUAAAACUGUCGUAAACUCCCUAGUAAAAUCAAGAUUAGAUAAUUGCAACUCCUUUUUAGCAGGAAUCCCAGAUGUUUUAAUUAAUAAACUACAAAUGGUACAAAAUAGUGCAGCAAGGCUUAUCACCAGAUCAAAGUUUAGAGAGCACAUAACCCCUAUUUUAAUUGAGUUACACUGGCUACCCAUUUAUUUUAGAAUUCAAUAUAAAAUCCUUGCUUUAGUUUUUAAAUGUCUUAAUGGUCUUGCACCUCUUUACUUGAAUUAGUGUUAUUUUGUUUUAUACCUAAUAUGUUGUUUACUAAAUAAUAUAUGAUUAUAUUGUGUAUCUGUGAUACUGUUUUGUGAUAAUUUAUAAUGUGUGAUAAUUUAUAAUGUUUUGUAAAGCGCAUUUGAGCACCCACUGAAUUGUGCGCUAUAAAAAUGUUCAUAAUAAUAAUAAAUAAUAAUUGUACUUAACUAUAAUGGAAAUGGAAAAUUUUACAAAGCAAAGAAAUUACUGUACUGUAAAGCAAGUAAAGCCAUCUUUAAUAUUAUUCGGAAAGUCAAAGUUCUUAAUCUAACCAUAGAUACCGUAUUAUACUUAAUUAAUCACCUAGUUAUACCUAUCAUGCUUUUGUGUUCUGUGGUUUGGGGGAUACUCAGACACAGAUCCCCUAAAAAUUCUACAACUUAAGUUUUGGUAAGAUUCUCAUGAAUGUUAAACUGUCGGCCCCAUACGUCAUGGUUUUUGGCGAUUAUUGAUUAUAUCCAUUGAAAAUCGAAAUAGAUUGUAGGUUGUAUAAAUUAAUUCUCAGCACUAAUGAUGUCAAUGAAUAGUUAUAUUAAGUUAGUUAUAUUAAGCGCGUGUUAGACGGCAGGUCUUAUGGAUUAACCCAAGUGAUAUUCUAAUAUCGAGUCGCUGAAAUCGAAUCUCAAAACUAGACUUAGAGAUCAAUACCAGCAACUAUGGCAUAGCUAAAUUAGUGAAAGCUCUAAAUGUGCAAACUAUCGUAUCUGUAAGACUAUUUUUGGAUUCAAAAACUAUUUAUUCCAACCUGCUAAUUUUAUAAUUCCGGUAGGAUUUGUCAUCUGGUAACUCCAACAACUUCGGAGACGAAUAUCAUUAACUUUUUGAAUGUCAAUUCUUUCAAACAGAAAGAAUUAACUACAUUGCUACAAAAUAUUUAAAUAGACCAUGUCCAACUUAUUUAAAUAAUAAUAAGGAAAUCGUAAAUAAAUGUCAAUUUGUCAAACUUAUUUUUCGACAUUUUAAAUAACCAGGUUAUUAUCCUGUACAUGAUCAAAUUGUUUCUUUCAUUGUGAAUAUAUAAUGUAAAUAUAUCUUAGUAUUAUUUAUUGUAACUUAAUAUUGUUAAUACCAUUCAUGCAACUUCACAGAAGUGUUUUGGGUUUUUUUGAAUAAAGAUUA